rnacentral:lncRNA from 1 species
GCGUGUACAUGCACAUGUGUGUCCAUGCAGGUGUAGGACUAAGGUUGAUAUCAAGAGUCAUCCUCCCUCACUGAUAUACCUUAUUCUUUUAGGCAGAGUCUCUCAAUCAAGCCAGAGCCCACCAUUUGGCUGGUAUUGCUUCUCAACUUAUUCUAGGAACCUCCCUAAGCACGGAUCUAUCUCUAUUUCCUGUUUCUUCUUGGUCUUUUUGAGCCUUAAUCAAUCACAGUGAGAGGCAUAUCUGUGAAGUGUGCAGCCAAGGUCCUUGGAAGGUCCUGGAGGCGAAGUUGGAGAGGAAGUACUGGCCUGAGGCCAAGGGCAGCAAAGAGUGAAAAGGGGCCGGGGACAGUGUACAGAGCAGUGGCUGGCUUGUCUCCACUAUCAGACUUUACUCCAGGAGGAGGCAGAGGCCGUGUGAGAGCCGUGCCGCUUCACCUGGCUCCUGACCUAUAUUGGAAGUGACAAACACGGGCUCCGAAAUGCUUACAAGGCACCUUGCCGGCAAGCACUGUGAAGUGAACAGAAAAUGAGACUAGAUGCUGAGCAAGUCCCACAAACUGUGUGCCCAAGCUCUGGACAGAGCAGAUAGACACAGUCUUCCUCUGAACUAUGCUUGCUGCAGUCCCUCCACCAGCAUGGAGAAGAAGCUCACAAGGACUGUCCUUCAAGCCUAUAUCCAUGCUCAGCUGUGCCAGCAUCUCUGGGCCUCAGGAACACCGAAGUCCUCAUUCUGAGCCAGGUAGGCCCACACAUGUCCCAGACGGUUACAUUCCUUCCUGGCUAGAGGCUUUUGUCACCCCAGGCUGUUGUGGGAAGUUGCCAUCAGGAGCAUCUAAAGACCUGUGACAGGAAAUUGGAGCUGCCAAUCUCUUAGCAAUCGG